AUGAACGCUGGCGGCGUGCCUAAUACAUGCAAGUCGAGCGAACAGAUGAGGAGCUUGCUCCUCUGACGUUAGCGGCGGACGGGUGAGUAACACGUGGAUAACCUACCUAUAAGACUGGGAUAACUUCGGGAAACCGGAGCUAAUACCGGAUAAUAUAUUGAACCGCAUGGUUCAAUAGUGAAAGACGGUUUUGCUGUCACUUAUAGAUGGAUCCGCGCCGCAUUAGCUAGUUGGUAAGGUAACGGCUUACCAAGGCAACGAUGCGUAGCCGACCUGAGAGGGUGAUCGGCCACACUGGAACUGAGACACGGUCCAGACUCCUACGGGAGGCAGCAGUAGGGAAUCUUCCGCAAUGGGCGAAAGCCUGACGGAGCAACGCCGCGUGAGUGAUGAAGGUCUUCGGAUCGUAAAACUCUGUUAUUAGGGCAGAACAAAUGUGUAAGUAACUAUGCACGUCUUGACGGUACCUAAUCAGAAAGCCACGGCUAACUACGUG
rnacentral:rRNA from 1 species